GGUUAAGCGACUAAGCGUACACGGUGGAUGCCCUGGCAGUCAGAGGCGAUGAAGGACGUGCUAAUCUGCGAAAAGCGCCGGCGAGGUGAUAUGAACCUUUGACCCGGCGAUGUCCGAAUGGGGAAACCCAGUGUGUUCCGACACACUAUCGUUAACUGAAUACAUAGGUUAACGAGGCGAACCGGGGGAACUGAAACAUCUAAGUACCCCGAGGAAAAGAAAUCAACCGAGAUUCCCCCAGUAGCGGCGAGCGAACGGGGAGCAGCCCAGAGUCUGAAUCAGCUUGUGUGUUAGUGGAAGCGUCUGGAAAGUCGCACGGUACAGGGUGACAGUCCCGUACACGAAAGCACACAGGCUGUGAACUCGAAGAGUAGGGCGGGACACGUGGUAUCCUGUCUGAAUAUGGGGGGACCAUCCUCCAAGGCUAAAUACUCCUGACUGACCGAUAGUGAACCAGUACCGUGAGGGAAAGGCGAAAAGAACCCCGGCGAGGGGAGUGAAAAAGAACCUGAAACCGUGUACGUACAAGCAGUGGGAGCCUCUUUUAUGGGGUGACUGCGUACCUUUUGUAUAAUGGGUCAGCGACUUAUAUUCUGUAGCAAGGUUAACCGUAUAGGGGAGCCGAAGGGAAACCGAGUCUUAACUGGGCGUUAAGUUGCAGGGUAUAGACCCGAAACCCGGUGAUCUAGCCAUGGGCAGGUUGAAGGUUGGGUAACACUAACUGGAGGACCGAACCGACUAAUGUUGAAAAAUUAGCGGAUGACUUGUGGCUGGGGGUGAAAGGCCAAUCAAACCGGGAGAUAGCUGGUUCUCCCCGAAAGCUAUUUAGGUAGCGCCUCGUGAACUCAUCUUCGGGGGUAGAGCACUGUUUCGGCUAGGGGGCCAUCCCGGCUUACCAACCCGAUGCAAACUACGAAUACCGAAGAAUGUUAUCACGGGAGACACACGGCGGGUGCUAACGUCCGUCGUGAAGAGGGAAACAACCCAGACCGCCAGCUAAGGUCCCAAAGUCAUGGUUAAGUGGGAAACGAUGUGGGAAGGCACAGACAGCCAGGAUGUUGGCUUAGAAGCAGCCAUCAUUUAAAGAAAGCGUAAUAGCUCACUGGUCGAGUCGGCCUGCGCGGAAGAUGUAACGGGGCUAAACCAUGCACCGAAGCUGCGGCAGCGACACUAUGUGUUGUUGGGUAGGGGAGCGUUCUGUAAGCCGUUGAAGGUGUCCUGUGAGGGGUGCUGGAGGUAUCAGAAGUGCGAAUGCUGACAUAAGUAACGAUAAAGCGGGUGAAAAGCCCGCUCGCCGGAAGACCAAGGGUUCCUGUCCAACGUUAAUCGGGGCAGGGUGAGUCGACCCCUAAGGCGAGGCCGAAAGGCGUAGUCGAUGGGAAACAGGUUAAUAUUCCUGUACUUGGUGUUACUGCGAAGGGGGGACGGAGAAGGCUAUGUUAGCCGGGCGACGGUUGUCCCGGUUUAAGCAUGUAGGCGGAACGAUUAGGUAAAUCCGGUCGUUUAUUAACGCUGAGGUGUGAUGACGAGGCACUACGGUGCUGAAGUAACAAAUGCCCUGCUUCCAGGAAAAGCCUCUAAGCAUCAGGUAACACGAAAUCGUACCCCAAACCGACACAGGUGGUCAGGUAGAGAAUACCAAGGCGCUUGAGAGAACUCGGGUGAAGGAACUAGGCAAAAUGGUGCCGUAACUUCGGGAGAAGGCACGCUGAUAUGUAGGUGAAGCCCCUGCGGGUGGAGCUGAAAUCAGUCGAAGAUACCAGCUGGCUGCAACUGUUUAUUAAAAACACAGCACUGUGCAAACACGAAAGUGGACGUAUACGGUGUGACGCCUGCCCGGUGCCGGAAGGUUAAUUGAUGGGGUUAGCGGUAACGCGAAGCUCUUGAUCGAAGCCCCGGUAAACGGCGGCCGUAACUAUAACGGUCCUAAGGUAGCGAAAUUCCUUGUCGGGUAAGUUCCGACCUGCACGAAUGGCGUAAUGAUGGCCAGGCUGUCUCCACCCGAGACUCAGUGAAAUUGAACUCGCUGUGAAGAUGCAGUGUACCCGCGGCAAGACGGAAAGACCCCGUGAACCUUUACUAUAGCUUGACACUGAACACUGGUCCUUGAUGUGUAGGAUAGGUGGGAGGCUUUGAAGCGUGGACGCCAGUCUGCGUGGAGCCAACCUUGAAAUACCACCCUUUAAUGGCUGGUGUUCUAACGUAGACCCGUAAUCCGGGUUGCGGACAGUGUCUGGUGGGUAGUUUGACUGGGGCGGUCUCCUCCCAAAGAGUAACGGAGGAGCACGAAGGUUAGCUAAUCCUGGUCGGACAUCAGGAGGUUAGUGCAAUGGCAUAAGCUAGCUUGACUGCGAGAGUGACGGCUCGAGCAGGUGCGAAAGCAGGUCAUAGUGAUCCGGUGGUUCUGAAUGGAAGGGCCAUCGCUCAACGGAUAAAAGGUACUCCGGGGAUAACAGGCUGAUACCGCCCAAGAGUUCAUAUCGACGGCGGUGUUUGGCACCUCGAUGUCGGCUCAUCACAUCCUGGGGCUGAAGUAGGUCCCAAGGGUAUGGCUGUUCGCCAUUUAAAGUGGUACGCGAGCUGGGUUUAGAACGUCGUGAGACAGUUCGGUCCCUAUCUGCCGUGGGCGCUGGAGAAUUGAGGGGGGCUGCUCCUAGUACGAGAGGACCGGAGUGGACGCAUCACUGGUGUUCGGGUUGUCAUGCCAAUGGCACUGCCCGGUAGCUAAAUGCGGAAGAGAUAAGUGCUGAAAGCAUCUAAGCACGAAACUUGCCCCGAGAUGAGUUCUCCCUGAGACUUUAAGUCUCCUGAAGGAACGUUGAAGACUACGACGUUGAUAGGUCGGGUGUGUAAGCGCAGCGAUGCGUUGAGCUAACCGAUACUAAUGAACCGUGAGGCUUAACCUU
rnacentral:rRNA from 1 species